CAGGCUUAACACAUGCAAGUCGAGCGGCAGCGGGAAGAUAGCUUGCUAUCUUUGCCGGCGAGCGGCGGACGGGUGAGUAAUGCCUAGGGAUCUGCCCAGUCGAGGGGGAUAACAGUUGGAAACGACUGCUAAUACCGCAUACGCCCUACGGGGGAAAGGAGGGGACCUUCGGGCCUUCCGCGAUUGGAUGAACCUAGGUGGGAUUAGCUAGUUGGUGAGGUAAUGGCUCACCAAGGCGACGAUCCCUAGCUGUUCUGAGAGGAUGAUCAGCCACACUGGGACUGAGACACGGCCCAGACUCCUACGGGAGGCAGCAGUGGGGAAUAUUGCACAAUGGGCGAAAGCCUGAUGCAGCCAUGCCGCGUGUGUGAAGAAGGCCUUCGGGUUGUAAAGCACUUUCAGUAGGGAGGAAAGGUUAACGAUUAAUACUCGUUAGCUGUGACGUUACCUACAGAAGAAGGACCGGCUAACUCCGUGCCAGCAGCCGCGGUAAUACG
rnacentral:rRNA from 1 species